UACGUAGGGGGCUAGCGUUGUCCGGAUUUAUUGGGCGUAAAGAGCGUGUAGGCGGCCAGGUAGGUCCGUUGUGAAAACUCGAGGCUCAACCUCGAGACGUCGGCGGAAACCCUCUGGCUAGAGUCCGGAAGAGGAGAGUGGAAUUCCUGGUGUAGCGGUGAAAUGCGCAGAUAUCAGGAGGAACACCAGUGGCGAAGGCGGCUCACUGGUCCAUUACUGACGCUGAGGUGCGAAAGCGUGGGGAGCAAACAGG
rnacentral:rRNA from 1 species